rnacentral:lncRNA from 1 species
CACCUUUUCCUCCUUUUGAGGCAGAAGAGGCUUCAAACUUGCCACCACAACUUCCACCUUAUUCCUUUGAUCCAAAUGGCAGUGAUCUGCCUCAAGAUACAAAAGUUUUGCAGUACUAUUUCAAUCUGGGAUUGCAGUGUUAUCACCACAACUAUUGGCAGUCUAUGGUCUAUAUGCCGCAGACGCAGCAGCCUAAUGUAGAGAAUUACCCAAUCUAUACUGAGCCACCUCUGAUAGACCAAACUGUUCCUCACAUAUACAGUGAGGUAGGGAGAGCAGAGGGUGCACAGACAGAAGCCUCAGUGAAUGGUACUUUUCCGAAUGCCGACUCUGCAUCUAUCCCUCAUGGAGCAGUCUAUUACCCAGUAAUGUCAGAUCCCUAUGGGCAGACACCAUUGCCAGGUUUUGAUUCCUGCCUUCCUGUUGUGCCAGAUUAUCCCUGUGUUGCGCCCUGUCAUCCAGUUGGCACAGCAUAUAGUGGUUCUUCUCAAAAUCAUGGUGCUGUAAAUCCUGGGGCAGUUGGCUAUAUUGCUUCACCUCCAUCUCAUUAUGUACCUCAGAAUAUGUAAGAUUCAGCAAUGUGAAGUAUUGUUGCACUGCUAUUUUGUUGCUGUUUUGGUUUUAAAGUUUUUUAUGUUGGUGUUUGUGAUUUAGGUGGCAAGAGUCAUUACUAUUGUAUCUGUCUUUAAGAUUGUUUUAUCUUUUGAUUUAAUAUAUUCCUUUAAAGGGAUACUGCUAUGGCCUGUGAAUAAGGAAAUUAAGAUGGAUGUACAACUAGCCCAUUACUCAGCAUAUUUGAUUGUAUUCGGUUAUGUUCCUGUCAACCAGCUUGUCAACUUUGUAUUAGCUAAUGGUGCCAAUUGAAAUAAACAUUACAAACUAUUUCCCUGGAUCAGAAAAAUCAUACAACAUACUAAACUGUUCAAAAUUUUAAUUUCCAUUUUCUAGAAAGUAAAACAACAAAAUCAAGACCCUUUGCUCCUGGGUAACAAUAUUAAAUAAGAGAGUUCUUCGGGCUUCUUAAGAGUUGUGUGACCUGAGUUGUGUUCUGUGGUAUUAAUCAGUUUUGAAGUCAUAUGGUGCUCUGCUUUAGAUUUAUCCCAUAUGCUAUUGUUUAAUACUGGAUUUAUGUAACUGCACAGUAUUGAAUUGGUGUCCUUUGCACAGUUAGCAGUAAAUAAAAACUAGCAUUUAAGAUUGCUAAAAGAAGUGUGAUUUUUUUUUUCUUUUUUCUUUCUUUCUUUUUUUUUCUUUGCUUUUUCAUGGCAGCAGAGAGUGUACCAGACAUUUAAUUGUUUCAGCAUGUUUUUCCCUGGCAUUUUGGUUGCAGAAGAAUGUGAAUUUAUAGCUUCAACAGGGUGGGGUGUGGGUAGUUGCAGGGCCACUUGAAAUGUUAUUUAAUCUCUAGUCAGAGAGAUAAUACCAUAUCUAGCUCUUUUCUGCUGAGAACAUUCCUUUUAAAGUCAUUUGGCUCUAUCUGAACAUGAUAGCAUACACCCCAGCACUUGGGAGGCUUAGACAGGAGUUUCACUGAGAGUUCGAGGCCAGCCUGGGAUACAUAGUGAGUUCAAGACCAGCCUGAACUAUAUAGAGAGACUCCCCCACACAAAAUAUAUAUAUGACUUCUGUAUGGAAAUUUUAGUGUAGAUUUAUUUUCGCAUUGUCCUGUAUUCCCCAAUAGUUGUCACAUCUUAAAUUUUUUGUUUUUAGACUUGUAUCUCAAGGCCUGACUUGUUUCUGAAUUUCUGCAAAAUUUCAGCCGUUUUUGUCUUCUCCUUUUCAUCUAUCCAAAGACCACAAGAUCUAUAUUAAUCAGUUAUCCUCUGUGGAGUAAUUUGUCCAGAAUGCUUU